UGGAUUUACUGGUUUGUCUGAGGUUAUAUUUUAGAGACUACUUGAUAUGUGCUCAAAAAUAUUCUGAGCAAAUCAAAACUCUAUAUGAGAUAUGGACUUGGGAAAUUUGAUGCUCUCUUAUCUUAGGAUUUGGAGUGUCAGACUUAUGUGAAAUGUUUACAUACCGACUAGCUUGGAUCUUGAUCUGAUAAAUACUAUAUUAAAGAUAUUCUUUCUACCUUCUUAAUA
rnacentral:lncRNA from 1 species